rnacentral:rRNA from 1 species
UACGUAGGGUGCAAGCGUUGUUCGGAAUUAUUGGGCGUAAAGCGCGCGUAGGCGGGUUUAUAAGUCGAUUGUGAAAGCCCUGGGCUUAACCUGGGAAUGGCAGUCGAAACUGUAAAUCUUGAAUACCUAAGAGGAUGGCGGAAUUCCCGGUGUAGUAGUGAAAUACGUAGAUAUCGGGAGGAACACCUGAGGCGAAGGCGGCUAUCUGGGUGGUGUAUUGACGCUGAGGCGCGAAAGCGUGGGGAGCAAACAGG